UAUAACGUCCCAAUGGAAGACCCAAGCUACAAGGCCUAUAUUCUAAAAGGACUAGCCAAUGAUACAAUUGAAGCUCCAUUAGAACCUUAUAAAGAGCAAGAACUUCUCCUUCCAAGCAAUGUGGGAUCCAAUAUACCACCUACCUUUAUCCAUAUCAUAUGGGGGUAUCACAAUCUUCC